rnacentral:rRNA from 1 species
GACGAACGCUGGCGGCGUGCCUAACACAUGCAAGUCGAGCGAAGUGAGUACUACGGUACGAACUUAGCGGCGGACGGGUGAGUAACGCGUGGACAAUCUACCCUGUAGACUGGGAUAACACCUCGAAAGGGGUGCUACUACCGGAUAAUGUCGAGAAGCGGCAUCGCUUUUCGAAGAAAGGAGAGAAUCCGCUAUAGGAGGAGUCCGCGUCCCAUUAGCUAGUUGGGGAGGGUAACGGGCCACCAAGGCGACGAUGAGUAGCCGGCCUGAGAGGGUGAACGGCCACACUGGAACUGAGAAACGGUCCAGACUCCUACGGGAGGCAGCAGUGGGGAAUAUUGAGCAAUGGGGGAAACCCUGACACAGCAACGCCGCGUGAGCGAAGAAGGCCUUCGGGUUGUAAAGCUCAAUAGUAUGGGAAGAUAAUGACGGUACCAUACGAAAGCCCCGGCUAACUACGUGCCAGCCGCCGCCGUAACAC